GACGAACGCUGGCUGCGUGCUUAACACAUGCAAGUCGAACGCUGAAACCCUGGUGCUUGCACCGGGGUGGAUGAGUGGCGAACGGGUGAGUAACACGUGAGUAACCUGCCCCCGACUUCGGGAUAAGCCCGGGAAACUGGGUCUAAUACCGGAUAUGAGCGCCCCUCGCAUGAGGGAUGCUGGAAAGUCUUUUCGGUUGGGGAUGGGCUCGCGGCCUAUCAGUUUGUUGGUGAGGUAAUGGCUCACCAAGACGACGACGUGUAGCCGGCCUGGGAGGGCGACCGGCCACACUGGGACUGAGACACGGCCCAGACUCCUACGGGAGGCAGCAGUGGGGAAUAUUGCACAAUGGGGGAAACCCUGAUGCAGCGACGCAGCGUGCGGGAUGACGGCCUUCGGGUUGUAAACCGCUUUCAGCAGGGAAGAAGCCCCUUGGGGUGACGGUACCUGCAGAAGAAGUACCGGCUAACUACGUGCCAGCAGCCGCCGCCG
rnacentral:rRNA from 1 species